UACGUAGGUGGCAAGCGUUGUCCGGAUUUAUUGGGCUUAAAGGGUGCGUAGGCGGCCCUGUAAGUCUGUGGUGAAAUACUCCAGCUUAACUGGAGGGGUGCCAUUGAUACUGCAGGGCUUGAGUGGAGUCGAAGUAGGCGGAAUUGACGGUGUAGCGGUGAAAUGCUUAGAUAUCGUCAAGAACACCGAUAGUGAAGACAGCUUACUAGGCUUCUACUGACGCUGAGGCACGAAAGUGUGGGGAUCAAACAGG
rnacentral:rRNA from 1 species